rnacentral:rRNA from 1 species
CUGAGCGGCGGACGGGUGAGUAACGCGUGGGUAACCUGCCUCAUACAGGGGGAGAACAGUUGGAAACGGCUGCUAAUACCGCAUAAGCGCACAGUACCGCAUGGUACGGUGUGAAAAACUCCGGUGGUAUGAGAUGGACCCGCGUCUGAUUAGGUAGUUGGUGGGGUAACGGCCUACCAAGCCGACGAUCAGUAGCCGACCUGAGAGGGUGACCGGCCACAUUGGGACUGAGACACGGCCCAA